rnacentral:rRNA from 1 species
AUUGAACGCUGGCGGCAUGCUUUACACAUGCAAGUCGAACGGCAGCGCGGGCUUCGGCCUGGCGGCGAGUGGCGAACGGGUGAGUAAUGCAUCGGAACGUGCCCAGUAGUGGGGGAUAGCCCGGCGAAAGCCGGAUUAAUACCGCAUACGACCUGAGGGUGAAAGCGGGGGACCGAAAGGCCUCGCGCUAUUGGAGCGGCCGAUGCCGGAUUAGCUAGUUGGUGGGGGAAAGGCUUACCAAGGCGACGAUCCGUAGCUGGUCUGAGAGGACGACCAGCCACACUGGGACUGAGACACGGCCCAGACUCCUACGGGAGGCAGCAGUUGGGAAUUUUGGACAAUGGGGGCAACCCUGAUCCAGCCAUGCCGCGUGCGGGAAGAAGGCCUUCGGGUUGUAAACCGCUUUUGUUCGGGAAGAAAUCCUCUGGGCUAAUACCCCGGGGGGAUGACGGUACCGGAAGAAUAAGCACCGGCUAACUACGUG